CCUACGGGAGGCUGCAGUGGGGAAUAUUGGACAAUGGGGGCAACCCUGAUCCAGCCAUGCCGCGUGUGUGAAGAAGGCCCUCGGGUUGUAAAGCACUUUCAGUGAGGAAGAACGCCUGGUGGUUAAUACCCAUCAGGAAAGACAUCACUCACAGAAGAAGCACCGGCUAACUCCGUGCCAGCAGCCGCGGAAUACGGAGGGUGCGAGCGUUAAUCGGAAUUACUGGGCGUAAAGCGCGCGUAGGUGGCUUGAUAAGCCGGUUGUGAAAGCCCCGGGCUCAACCUGGGAACGGCAUCCGGAACUGUCAAGCUAGAGUGCAGGAGAGGAAGGUAGAAUUCCCGGUGGAGCGGUGAAAUGCGUAGAGAUCGGGAGGAAUACCAGUGGCGAAGGCGGCCUUCUGGACUGACACUGACACUGAGGUGCGAAAGCGUGGGUAGCAAACAGGAUUAGAUACCCCUGUAGUC
rnacentral:rRNA from 1 species